CGGUAACAGGAAGAAGCUUGCUUCUUUGCUGACGAGUGGCGGACGGGUGAGUAAUGUCUGGGAAACUGCCUGAUGGAGGGGGAUAACUACUGGAAACGGUAGCUAAUACCGCAUAACGUCGCAAGACCAAAGAGGGGGACCUUCGGGCCUCUUGCCAUCGGAUGUGCCCAGAUGGGAUUAGCUUGUUGGUGGGGUAACGGCUCACCAAGGCGACGAUCCCUAGCUGGUCUGAGAGGAUGACCAGCCACACUGGAACUGAGACACGGUCCAGACUCCUACGGGAGGCAGCAGUGGGGAAUAUUGCACAAUGGGCGCAAGCCUGAUGCAGCCAUGCCGCGUGUAUGAAGAAGGCCUUCGGGUUGUAAAGUACUUUCAGCGGGGAGGAGGGGAGUAAAGUUAAUACCUUUGCUCAUUGACGUUACCCGCAGAAGAAGCACCGGCUAACUCCGUGCCAGCAGCCGCGGUAAUACGGAGGGUGCAAGCGUUAAUCGGAAUUACUGGGCGUAAAGCGCACGCAGGCGGUUUGUUAAGUCAGAUGUGAAAUCCCCGGGCUCAACCUGGGAACUGCAUCUGAUAAUCACUAG
rnacentral:rRNA from 1 species